rnacentral:rRNA from 1 species
UACGGGGGGGCAAGCGUUGUUCGGAAUUACUGGGCGUAAAGGGCUCGUAGGCGGCCAACUAAGUCAGACGUGAAAUCCCUCGGCUUAACCGGGGAACUGCAUCUGAUACUGGAUGGCUUGAGUUUGGGAGAGGGAUGCGGAAUUCCAGGUGUAGCGGUGAAAUGCGUAGAGUAUCUGGAGGAACACCGGUGGCGAAGGCGGCAUCCUGGACCAACACUGACGCUGAGGAGCGAAAGCCAGGGGAGCAAACGGG